rnacentral:rRNA from 1 species
GAUGAACGCUGGCGGCGUGCCUAAUACAUGCAAGUCGAGCGAACAGACGAGGAGCUUGCUCCUUUGACGUUAGCGGCGGACGGGUGAGUAACACGUGGGUAACCUACCUAUAAGACUGGGAUAACUUCGGGAAACCGGAGCUAAUACCGGAUAAUAUUUCGAACCGCAUGGUUCGAUAGUGAAAGAUGGCUUUGCUAUCACUUAUAGAUGGACCUGCGCCGUAUUAGCUAGUUGAUAAGGUAACGGCUUACCAAGGCAACGAUACGUAGCCGACCUGAGAGGGGGAUCGGCCACACUGGAACUGAGACACGGUCCAGACUCCUACGGGAGGCAGCAGUAGGGAAUCUUCCGCAAUGGGCGAAAGCCUGACGGAGCAACGCCGCGUGAGUGAUGAAGGUCUUCGGAUCGUAAAACUCUGUUAUUAGGGAAGAACAAACGUGUAAGUAACUGUGCACGUCUUGACGGUACCUAAUCAGAAAGCCACGGCUAACUACGUG